CAAGAUAUCUAUAAAAUCAUAAUAUUUUCUAUUUACUUUUCAUUAAAAAAUUUUACUUUGAUAUACUUUGGCCCACGUGCUAUUAAUGGCCAUCGAGCCGCGUGUUAGCCCACCAAUGAAGCGUGCUUAUUACGUGCCUUUUCGUGUGUCGUGCCUUUAAGGCCUGCGUGUCUAAAAUUUUAGGCCUGACAUGGCCCACAUACGUGUCGUGCCGUGUUGUACUGUACGGACACGUGCCGUGCUUGUGCUAUGCCAUAUACUGCCCCGCCCACUGGCCAUCUUUACCCCGGACGUGCUUGGCACUUAAGAAAGUUCUCCACUUGCAUACACCUCAGCUAUUGUUUCUCUAUGAGACAAAGUUAUCGUUUAAGCAAGCAUAUGAAGAAUGUAGAAACCCCUUAAUUUCAUAAAUAGUCAUACAAACCCAUUUAUGAUAUUAUAGCCUAUAGUUGAAAUAAAAUACAAAUUAUAGUAAUAAGAUAAAAAAUAAAAAAUAAAAUAUCA
rnacentral:lncRNA from 1 species